UUGAACGCUGGCGGCAGGCCUAACACAUGCAAGUCGAACGGUAACAGGAAGAAGCUUGCUUCUUUGCUGACGAGUGGCGGACGGGUGAGUAAUGUCUGGGAAACUGCCUGAUGGAGGGGGAUAACUACUGGAAACGGUAGCUAAUACCGCAUAACGUCGCAAGACCAAAGAGGGGGACCUUCGGGCCUCUUGCCAUCGGAUGUGCCCAGAUGGGAUUAGCUUGUUGGUGGGGUAACGGCUCACCAAGGCGACGAUCCCUAGCUGGUCUGAGAGGAUGACCAGCCACACUGGAACUGAGACACGGUCCAGACUCCUACGGGAGGCAGCAGUGGGGAAUAUUGCACAAUGGGCGCAAGCCUGAUGCAGCCAUGCCGCGUGUAUGAAGAAGGCCUUCGGGUUGUAAAGUACUUUCAGCGGGGAGGAAGGGAGUAAAGUUAAUACCUUUACUCAUUGACGUUACCCGCAGAAGAAGCACCGGCUAACUCCGUGCCAGCAGCCGCGGUAAUACGGAGGGUGCAAGCGUUAAUCGGAAUUACUGGGCGUAAAGCGCACGCAGGCGGUUUGUUAAGUCAGAUGUGAAAUCCCCGGGCUCAACCUGGGAACUGCAUCUGAUACUGGCAAGCUUGAGUCUCGUAGAGGGGGGUAGAAUUCCAGGUGUAGCGGUGAAAUGCGUAGAGAUCUGGAGGAAUACCGGUGGCGAAGGCGGCCCCCUGGACGAAGACUGACGCUCAGGUGCGAAAGCGUGGGGAGCAAACAGGAUUAGAUACCCUGGUAGUCCACGCCGUAAACGAUGUCGACUUGGAGGUUGUGCCCUUGAGGCGUGGCUUCCGGAGCUAACGCGUUAAGUCGACCGCCUGGGGAGUACGGCCGCAAGGUUAAAACUCAAAUGAAUUGACGGGGGCCCGCACAAGCGGUGGAGCAUGUGGUUUAAUUCGAUGCAACGCGAAGAACCUUACCUGGUCUUGACAUCCACAGAACUUUCCAGAGAUGGAUUGGUGCCUUCGGGAACUGUGAGACAGGUGCUGCAUGGCUGUCGUCAGCUCGUGUUGUGAAAUGUUGGGUUAAGUCCCGCAACGAGCGCAACCCUUAUCCUUUGUUGCCAGCGGUCCGGCCGGGAACUCAAAGGAGACUGCCAGUGAUAAACUGGAGGAAGGUGGGGAUGACGUCAAAUCAUCAUGCCCCUUAUGACCUGGGCUACACACGUACUACAAUGGCUAUAACAAAGGGAAGCGAUACCGCGAGGUGGAGCAAAACCCAAAAAAGUAGUCUCAGUUCGGAUUGAAGGCUGAAAUUCGCCUUCAUGAAGCCGGAAUUGCUAGUAAUGGCAGGUCAGCAUACUGCCGUGAAUACGUUCCCGGGCCUUGUACACACCGCCCGUCACACCAUGAGAGUUGGGAAUACCCGAAGCCUGUGAGCUAACUGUAAAGAGGCAGCAGUCGAAGGUAGAAUCAAUGAUUGGGGUG
rnacentral:rRNA from 1 species